rnacentral:misc_RNA from 1 species
UUGUCAAAAUCGGUACAUCCAGUAGAAAGUUAUGCGGUAUAAUACAACGUAGGUCGACGAAAAAAGCGUCAAGUAAAAACGCAUUAUUAGAUAUAACUCGAAAAGUAGUUGUUAGAUCUCAAAUAAAUUUAAAUGGGACCAAUUGGCACACACCACCUUUCGAUUAAAACAAAAUUUGUCGAAAUCGGUCUUCCCGGUCAAAAGUUCUGAUGUAACAUACAUAAAAAA